UAAGAGUGUUUGCCUAUAAGGAUAUUCACUACAAACUUGUACCAAACCUACCACCUAUCUAUCUGAUCUGACUUAAUAAUAACAGUACCAAACAAAACACCUCCUUCCUUUCCCAAUUAAGCAUUUUACAUAUCAACCCCAUCCAUCUGCAGCCACCACACAACCAACCCCCCAUCUUCAUUGCAGAGGCAGGUCACUUAAGCACGUUCACCCCUGAUCCUCCUAGCCAGCUGGAUAUCCUUCGGCAUGAUGGUAACACGCUUGGCAUGGAUGGCACAAAGGUUGGUGUCCUCAAACAGACCCACAAGGUAAGCCUCAGCUGCCUCCUGCAGUGCGAGCACCGCAUGGCUCUGGAAACGC
rnacentral:lncRNA from 1 species